GCAAGAGACGGGAGAAAAGAGAGGAAGAAGAAGAAGAAGAAGGGGAGGAGCAAGGGAGGAGGAAGAAGAGGGGAGCAGAGGGAGCUUCUACCCAUUUAAGGAAUAGAACUAAGAGGUGACGAGACAAUGCAGCGCGAGGCCAUCGGCUGUUCAUCAUCACCUAGGACUCGAGAUGUGAAUUCACGGAAUCAUUCAGAGAUUGUGGCUGAGGAGCCGGCCCUCUACGGUGGUGACCUCUAGGAUGAGGAGUUGGUCAUACACAAGGACGGCUGUGUAUGCGAUGAUUGUGCUUUUGGAGCACGCUGAGGAUGAGAGUAUCAUCUUCCCUUUUUAUUUUGUUUAUAUAUCAGAUGUAGCCCUAGGGGCAUAAAUGUAAUUAACAUUCCGCUACGAAAACGUUUUGGUAAAUAUGAUAAAUAUUAUUAGACUUCACCAGUUAUGUA